GCUGGGUGUGGUGGCACAUGCCUGUAAUCCCAGCAGCUUGGGAGGCUGAGACAGGAGGAUCAAAGCCUGCCUCAGCAAUGGUGAGGCACUAAGUAACUCAGUUGAGGCCCUGUCUCUA
rnacentral:sRNA from 1 species